GGGUUUUCCAGGACAACCAUAUGGCAACGACUGUGGUGUGUUUAUGUUGAUGUCUACAUUGUGCUGGGUGACCCAUUUGACUACACAAUUCAGGACAUGGCAGAGCUGAGGAAAUGGUGGUGCGUCAUGUUAAUGGAGAACUUUGGACUGGACCGACAUGGAAAAUUGUUUGCACACUAUACAGAGGAGUCCAAAGCCUUCCUGAGAGGUGAUCAGCAGCCUGUAUUUAGGUUGCAAAAAAGGAAGUUUGUCAUGUU